GAUGAAGAACGUAGCGAAAUGCGAUAAGUAAUGUGAAUUGCAGAAUUCAGUGAAUCAUCGAAUCUUUGAACGCACCUUGCGCCCUUUGGCUAUUCCGAAGGGCAUGCCUGUUUGAGUAUCAUGAUCACCUCAACUCUCAUGGUUUGCCAUGAUGAGCUUGGACUUUGGGGGUCUUGCCGGCCUAUGGGUCGGCUCCUCUCAAAUUAAUCAGCUUGCCAGUGUUUGGUGGCAUCACAGGUGUGAUAACUAUCUACGCUUGUGGUUUUCCAUCAGGUAACCUUCAGUGAUGGAGGUUCGCUGGGGCUCAUAAAUGUCUCUCCUCAGUGAGGACAGCUUUUUUGAACGUUUGAUCUCAAAUCAGGUAGGACUACCCGCUGAACUUAAGCAUAUCAAUAAGCGGAGGA
rnacentral:misc_RNA from 1 species